UACGAAGGGGGCUAGCGUUGCUCGGAAUUACUGGGCGUAAAGGGCGCGUAGGCGGACAGUUUAGUCAGAGGUAAAAGCCCUGGGCUCAACCUGGGAACUGCGAUGGAUACUGAGGAGCUGGAGUACGGUAGAGGAAGGUGGAAUUCCCGGUGUAGCGGUGAAAUGCGUAGAGAUCGGGAGGAACAUCAGUGGCGAAGGCGGCCUUCUGGACCAGUACUGACGCUGAGGCACGAAAGCGUGGGGAGCAAACAGG
rnacentral:rRNA from 1 species